GCCUGCUUUCCUUUUCAACCCAUAGCUGUUGACCCUCCCUAUGAAUGGACUCUACGGGUUCGUGGAUUUCCCCGUAAACUGGAGAGAACAAAAAGGAAGAAGACUGAAAACAUGUGCUUUUGAUGGAGCCUAGAGGAGACUCGUAGUUGUAACCAUACAGAUUACAUGUGCCUUGACAUGUAUGCCCUCGUGGGGUGGUGAGGCGACGAAGGGGCGUGGUUCCAAUCUGGCCCCUGGGAAUUCCAUCAGGCAUCUCUGGAAUGAGAGCACCCAGGGCCAGUGUGCGCCCGCGAUUGUCCCAAUGGGAAAUGAAGAGACUUGAAGAUUUUGAGC
rnacentral:sRNA from 1 species